rnacentral:lncRNA from 1 species
UUAAUGAAGCAUUGGGCUUGAAUCCAGAAUUGGGCUUGGACUUGAAGAGGGCAGACUAUUUUUAUUCUACAAAAUUUUAUCUUAUCUAGAUAUUAUUUAGAUUUGAUCUCAUCUAGAUAUUAUUUCAUCUAGAUCUUAUCUUAUCUUAUCUUAUUUAGAUUUUAUUUUAUUUUAUUUUAUUUAUGGGCUUGAAUUUAAAACAAAUUUGUAAGCUUUGGGGUUGGAAAACUAUAUAACAGCACCAAGGUUCUAGUUUAGGCUCCUCUCC